AUGAGACUGCCGUGGACAACGCGGAGGAAGGCGGGGAUGACGUCAAGUCAUCAUGCCCCUUAUGUCCUGGGCUACACACGUACUACAAUGGGAUGGACAGAGAGCAGCGACCCCGCGAGGGCAAGCGAACCUCAUAAACCAUCUCCCAGUUCGGAUUGCAGGCUGCAACCCGCCUGCAUGAAGUCGGAAUCGCUAGUAAACGCUGGUCAGCAUACAGCGGUGAAUACGUUCCCGGGCCUUGUACACACCGCCCGUCACACCACGGAGGUCAUUCACACCCAAAGCCGGUGGGUAAACCGCAAGGAUAUAGCCGUCUAAGGUGGGGGCGAUGACUGGGUUGAAGUAAUAACAAGGUA
rnacentral:rRNA from 1 species